UACGGGGGGGGCAAGCGUUGUUCGGAAUUAUUGGGCGUAAAGGGCUCGUAGGCGGCCAACUAAGUCGGACGUGAAAUCCCCAGGCUCAACCUGGGAACUGCGUCUGAUACUGGAUGGCUUGAAUCCGGGAGAGGGAUGCAGAAUUCCAGGUGUAGCGGUGAAAUGCGUAGAUAUCUGGAGGAAUACCGGUGGCGAAGGCGGCAUCCUGGACCGGCAUUGACGCUGAGGAGCGAAAGCCAGGGGAGCAAACGGG
rnacentral:rRNA from 1 species